rnacentral:rRNA from 1 species
GGAAAGGCGCGCGAUACAGGGUGACAGCCCCGUACACAAAAAUGCACAUGCUGUGAGCUCGAUGAGUAGGGCGGGACACGUGGUAUCCUGUCUGAAUAUGGGGGGACCAUCCUCCAAGGCUAAAUACUCCUGACUGACCGAUAGUGAACCAGUACCGUGAGGGAAAGGCGAAAAGAACCCCGGCGAGGGGAGUGAAAAAGAACCUGAAACCGUGUACGUACAAGCAGUGGGAGCACGCUUAGGCGUGUGACUGCGUACCUUUUGUAUAAUGGGUCAGCGACUUAUAUUCUGUAGCAAGGUUAACCGAAUAGGGGAGCCGAAGGGAAACCGAGUCUUAACUGGGCGUUAAGUUGCAGGGUAUAGACCCGAAACCCGGUGAUCUAGCCAUGGGCAGGUUGAAGGUUGGGUAACACUAACUGGAGGACCGAACCGACUAAUGUUGAAAAAUUAGCGGAUGACUUGUGGCUGGGGGUGAAAGGCCAAUCAAACCGGGAGAUAGCUGGUUCUCCCCGAAAGCUAUUUAGGUAGCGCCUCGUGAAUUCAUCUCCGGGGGU